rnacentral:rRNA from 1 species
CAGUAGCCACGGUAAACAGAGGGUGCGAGCGUUAAUCGGAUUUACUGGGCGUAAAGCGUGCGUAGGCGGCUUUUUAAGUCGGAUGUGAAAUCCCUGAGCUUAACUUAGGAAUUGCAUUCGAUACUGGGAAGCUAGAGUAUGGGAGAGGAUGGUAGAAUUCCAGGUGUAGCGGUGAAAUGCGUAGAGAUCUGGAGGAAUACCGAUGGCGAAGGCAGCCAUCUGGCCUAAUACUGACGCUGAGGUACGAAAGCAUGGGGAGCAAACAGGAUUAGAUACCCCUGUAGUCCCUGUCUCUUAUACA